rnacentral:lncRNA from 1 species
AGCCCUGACUUGGGUUCUUCACAUCCUCAACCUGAAAACCACUCCCGCCUGCAAGAGCUGAUGCAGUGUUCGAACAGCCUCCAGAGAGUGCCUGAUUUUAUAGGAAUGGAGUUCCCCAAAUAUCCACCCAAAAAGGAGCGGAGAGGUGAGUUGAAGUACAAAUGAACCACAGAUGAGCUAAGGACCACUGUGUAUUCCUGUCUCCUUUGCCGCUUGGAAAUUAAAGGAGGAAGAACUGUAGGCACCACGCCAUCCUCUUAGCUGGUAUCACCUAGCCAGAUGCCUGGGAGAUAAAAGGUAUAAAAUUACCCCCUUAUAUUUUCCCUCCAAGGAGAUUUCGCUUCUGGGAUCCUAGCACCAGAAAAUAGAAACCCUUGGCUACUUAACAAACAGGUAACCAACACUUUUUAGAUUUGCGUGUGCUUCUUGAAUUACCAAGAGAAAUGUAUGAUUUCACACAAAGUCAAAGAUGACAGAUGAUGUGUUCAGGACGUAUACAGGUGAUCUGGUGUCCGCAGCAUCUGAAGAGUGCUUUCCUUGCCUUCUCAAUUCCCCUGCUGCCUGGUAACCAGGAGGCAGCGCAGUGCAGCGCAGGGCCACGGGUAUCAAACUGAGGAUCACCUCCAGGGCUUCCACCUACCACCUACCAGCCGUGGGACAUCGGGCAAAUUCCUCGACUUGACGGGGCUCUUAUGAGGAUUAAGUGAGAUAAUCUGUGUAAAGCUUUUAGUACCGGGCCACAUGGUAAGUACUCAGAAGGGACUGUUGGUACUUACAGUUCUGGAGAGGCUAGGUCCUCUAAUCACCUGUGUUUUCUGCUGGGUGAACCAAGGGGAUUUUCCACCUCCUGGUUAGUUCAUAAGGUAUGUUAAUCACAGGAAAGUUUAUACGAUGAUGAGUUGGUGGUUGCCUAAUUUGAUGAGUCAGAUUGUUUUCUUUUUUUCACUUCUGUGUUGAAAAUAGAAAUUUAGGUCAACUUUUUGCUGGAGGCAGAAAAGUUUUUUUAGGAGUUCUCCUGUGGGGCAGCGGGUUCAGGAUUCGGCAUUGUCACCGCAGCGGCUUGGGACACUGCUGUGGCUGGUGUUCCAUCCUGGCCUGGGAACUUCCACAGGCCGAGGGUGCGGCCAAAAACAAAACAUUCUUUUUAUUGGGUUACCUGUCUGAAAUGAGAAAGAAACCCCUUUGAAUGCCUGGCUAUCGACUCAGCCCCACAGCUGAUAUGAAUAGAUUUCCUUUGGGAACCUCAAGUAAGAGUCUUAGGAGAGAGUCUAUGUAUGGCUCUUAAGCUGGGAAACAUCGAUUAAAAUCUAGCUUAGAUUUAGUUUCUAAGGCUACCGGAAUUGAGACAUUUAAAGACUCAGAAUACCAGGCUUCUUUGGGUGAAUUUAACAGUGUGUGCUGUGAACAGCUGCACGAGAAUCAAAGGUCAUUACUGCCAUUGCCCAGGGCUGCAGUGUCAGCAAAGGCAACCCAGCAGGAGGAUGCAUGUGGUGGGAAUUUCGGGAUGCCUAGGACCACCCAAGGUGGUCAUCCCACUAAGAAGAGCUUACCUAACGCAUUGCUCUAAUAGGCUCUUAGGUUGCUAAUAAUCAUAUGGCCUUAAUCAGCAGUAAAUGAGAACCUACUUAAUCAACCCACAGUCUUAAGGUAGUGUGAAGUAACAAGAAAAGUGAACUGCUACUAAGUGGCAUUACUCUGACAAGACUGGCAUAUUUUCAUUUUCCCAGUGUUCUCUUCUGUGCAUGAAACUGGGUUCUGGGCUUAAUAACCCUCAGCCAUAAAGUACUGUAACAUGUUAGUUCAUGCUGGGUGGCAACAGGUUUGUUUUUCAUGAUUAUGUAAUCUGAAUUCUUCUUCCAAGAAAGGAUUUGGAAAUGAGCUAUUAAAUUGGAUUGCCAGCAGACAUUUGGUCUAAAUGCACAUCUGCAUUAGCUGCAUGAAACUCCGGCCCUUUCUCUCUCAUGGCCCCCUACCCCUCUACAAAUCUGAAAACUGCAACUCUAGUGUGGCCCAUGAGAAAAACAGUCCAGCAGCUGGCCGAGGUUUACAUAAAGCAGUGAAAUGCCUACUAAGGAUUUUUAGGUGAGGGUAUUUGAUCUUCCUUGGUCUUAAAUAGCAACCUAAUGAGCCAGGCGAUCUGGGCACUCCGUACACUUGUACCCAGAUUAGAUUGGCUUUAAAAACUAAUAUAGUGUUAAAAUAUUGUGCAAAGGGUGCCUACUGGAGUAGGUUCAAAGACUUCAAGUGCUAGGUUGGUAUUUAUUGACUAAAAUGCUACUUAGAAAAGAGUUCACGUUGUUCUUAAUUUCCAAGACAAAGCUGAAAACCACAGCAAAUAACUGCUUGGGGGUUUGCAUUCCAUAGUCCUGGACUCAGAGGCAAGCUUCCUGUUCCCUCUUGGCUGGCAGACCCGACCCGAAGGCCAGGCGGUGAAUGGUUUGGUUCUUAGAGUUGCAGAAUCUGCACCGGGUGCCAGACCAGGUGUUUUUUGUUUUUUUAAGUUCAUCGUAAAGAUUUGGAUCUCACGGAAAGAGAACAGGAGAGCAGACUGAGUUAGGUAUUUGGGCAAAGACCAUCUCUUUACAAAGAUCCACACACCUGAGUAGCUCCCAAAGAGGAGGGUUUCAAAAUAACUGAGACCCACACUUGGAAAACGCGAAUCAUUCCCCGGGAUCUUCUUGGUAAGAUUCAGGAAUUAAA